rnacentral:rRNA from 1 species
GAUGAACGCUGGCGGCGUGCCUAAUACAUGCAAGUCGAGCGAACAGAUGAGGAGCUUGCUCCUCUGACGUUAGCGGCGGACGGGCGAGUAACACGUGGAUAACCUACCUAUAAGACUGGGAUAACUUCGGGAAACCGGAGCUAAUACCGGAUAAUAUAUUGAACCGCAUGGUUCAAUAGUGAAAGACGGUUUUGCUGUCACUUAUAGAUGCAUCCCCGCCGCAUUAGCUAGUUGGUAAGGUAACGGCUUACCAAGGCAACGAUGCGUAGCCGACCUGAGAGGGUGGUCGGCCACACUGGAACUGGGCCGCGGUCCAGACACCUACGGCAGGCAGCAGUAGGGAAUCGUCCGCAAUGGGCGGAAGCCUGACGGAGCAGCGCCGCGUGAGUUAUGAAGGUCUUCGGAUCGUAAAACUCUGUUAUUAGGGAAGAACAAAUGUGUAAGUAACUAUGCACGUCUUGACGGUACCUAAUCAGAAAGCCACGGCUAACUACGUG